rnacentral:rRNA from 1 species
AUUGAACGCUGGCGGCAGGCCUAACACAUGCAAGUCGAGCGGAUGAAGGGAGCUUGCUCCUGGAUUCAGCGGCGGUCGGGUGAGUAAUGCCUAGGAAUCUGCCUGGUAGUGGGGGAUAACGUCCGGAAACGGGCGCUAAUACCGCAUACGUCCUGAGGGAGAAAGUGGGGGAUCUUCGGACCUCACGCUAUCAGAUGAGCCUAGGUCGGAUUAGCUAGUUGGUGGGGUAAAGGCCUACCAAGGCGACGAUCCGUAACUGGUCCGAGAGGAUGAUCAGUCACACUGGAACUGAGACACGGUCCAGACUCCUACGGGAGGCAGCAGUGGGGAAUAUUGGACAAUGGGCGAAAGCCUGAUCCAGCCAUGCCGCGUGUGUGAAGAAGGUCUUCGGAUUGUAAAGCACUUUAAGUUGGGAGGAAGGGCAGUAAGUUAAUACCUUGCUGUUUUGACGUUACCAACAGAAUAAGCACCGGCUAACUUCGUG